CUGGGGGAUCCUUUAUUUUUACAACUUGUAAUGUCUUCCCACACCACUGGAGUGAUUUCGCGGGGUUUCUCCUCAUUGCAAUAAACCUCUGCGUGGGAGAAACAACCCGAAAUAACUCUCGUGAUCAUUUCUCUCAUAUUUUCAGAGGUACUGCAGCAUAUUACCCCAUAUCCUGGGUACAACAUUUGGAGGCACCGCUGGGAUUGCUGCUUAGAUGUCCGAUGUCCACAGCCUGUACGUCGUAGUCUGAGCCUGCUAAAUCCCCCACAUCACCCAGGCAGCCUACAGUGAGGAAGGUGUUGCGGUUAAGGAGAGCUGGCAGCUGUGCUCCAGUCCACGCAUCCUGAGGCCGACCAGAGAUCACCAGGAGCUGCACGGAUCCCACAGCUUGGUCUCCCCUGUACCUGCAAAAGUUCCUCCUGUCUACUGCCAAAAUGUCACUGCUGGAACAGCAACAAGAACAAAUCGUGCAUGGAGUGCACACUUUGCCUAAAGAACAGUUAGUGUCCAUCUGUGAGUUUCUUGGUAUAGCAGGGAAAAUAAAGGCUGACACAAAAACACGCCUGUCCCUGCUGACGCACAUCCAGAUGCAUAUUGAAAGAGAAGAAAUGAAAGAAUUGGAGGAUGAAGGGAUGUCUGAACUAUUGUCACUGAAGAAUAAGAUUGCUGAAAUAAUAAGUGUUGAAAAUGA